UACGAAGGGGGCUAGCGUUGCUCGGAAUUACUGGGCGUAAAGCGCACGUAGGCGGAUCGUUAAGUCGGGGGUGAAAUCCUGGAGCUCAACUCCAGAACUGCCCUCGAUACUGGCAAUCUCGAGUCCGGGAGAGGUGAGUGGAACUCCGAGUGUAGAGGUGAAAUUCGUAGAUAUUCGGAAGAGCACCAGUGGCGAAGGCGGCUCACUGGCCCGGUACUGACGCUGAGGUGCGAAAGCGUGGGGAGCAAACAG
rnacentral:rRNA from 1 species